GCCAUACGGACGCAAACACGUCUCUGGCGCCCAUCACUAUAUCCAUACCAACCCCUGUGCACUGUGAUGACGAAUGUCAUCGAACAAAAAAAACUCGUAUGGUUGAAUGUACGUGAAAUUGUAGGUAUAGCCUACGAACUAUACACAACUUUCGACAACGGAUCUCUUGGUUCUCCCAUCGAUGAAGAACGCAGCGAAACGCGAUAGGUAAUGUGAAUUGCAGAAUUCCGUGAAUCAUCGAAUCUUUGAACGCACCUUGCGCUCCAUGGUAUUCCGUGGAGCAUGCCUGUUUGAGUGCCGCGAAUUCUCCCUCCCCUUACGGUGGCCGAAAGGCCGAAGUAGGGCGGACGGGGUAGGAUGGGUGUUGCUGCCUGGGGAUUGUACCAGGCUCGCCCGAAAUGCAUAAGCGCCAGGACCCUCGCUACCGCUCUCUAGGGAAGAGUGGCUAAGCGACCGCUGAGCAUGGCAUGAUACGUCAUUUGCUGUGUGUGGGCGGCCGGUUGGAGAGGUGUCUGCUUUACCAGCCCUUUUUUAAUUCUGGUCUCAAAUCAGGUAGGAUCACCCGCUGAACUUAAGCAUAUC
rnacentral:rRNA from 1 species